rnacentral:rRNA from 1 species
ACUCCUACGGGAGGCAGCAGUAGGGAAUCUUCCACAAUGGGCGCAAGCCUGAUGAAGCAACACCGCGUGAGUGAAGAAGGGUUUCGGCUCGUAAAGCUCUGUUGUUAAAGAAGAACACGUAUGAGAGUAACUGUUCAUACGUUGACGGUAUUUAACCAGAAAGUCACGGCUAACUACGUGCCAGCAGCCGCGGUAAUACGUAGGUGGCAAGCGUUAUCCGGAUUUAUUGGGCGUAAAGAGAGUGCAGGCGGGUUUCUAAGUCUGAUGUGAAAGCCUUCGGCUUAACCGGAGAAGUGCAUCGGAAACUGGAUAACUUGAGUGCAGAAGAGGGUAGUGGAACUCCAUGUGUAGCGGUGGAAUGCGUAGAUAUAUGGAAGAACACCAGUGGCGAAGGCGGCUACCUGGUCUGCAACUGACGCUGAGACUCGAAAGCAUGGGUAGCGAACAGGAUUAGAUACCCCUGGUAGGAUAGCG